rnacentral:rRNA from 1 species
CUCUGAACCAGCCAUGCCGCGUGCAGGAAGACAGCCCUCUGGGUCGUAAACUGCUUUUAUUCGGGAAUAAACCUACUUACGUGUAAGUAGCUGAAUGUACCGAAGGAAUAAGGAUCGGCUAACUCCGUGCCAGCAGCCGCGGUAAUACGGAGGAUCCAAGCGUUAUCCGGAUUUAUUGGGUUUAAAGGGUGCGUAGGCGGCUUAUUAAGUCAGGGGUGAAAGACGGUGGCUCAACCAUCGCAGUGCCCUUGAUACUGAUGAGCUUGAAUACACUAGAGGUAGGCGGAAUGUGACAAGUAGCGGUGAAAUGCAUAGAUAUGUCACAGAACACCGAUUGCGAAGGCAGCUUACUAUGGUGUCAUUGACGCUGAGGCACGAAAGCGUGGGGAUCAAACAGGAUUAGAUACCCUGGUAGUCCACGCCCUAAACGAUGAAUACUCGCUGUUAGCGAUACACAGUUAGCGGCUAAGCGAAAGCGUUAAGUAUUCCACCUGGGGAGUACGCCCGCAAGGGUGAAACUC